rnacentral:rRNA from 1 species
CCAAUAGCGUAUAUUAAAGUUGUUGCAGUUAAAAAGCUCGUAGUUGAACUUCAGGCCUGGCUGGACGGUCCGCCUUCCGGGCGAGUACUGUCUGUGGUCGGGUCCUACCUUCUGGCGAAGCGUCAUGGCCUUAACCGGCCGUGGCGGGGAACCAGGACUUUUACUGUGAAAAAAUUAGAGUCUUCAAAGCAGGCAAUUCGCGUGUAUACAUUAGCAUGAAAUAAUGGAAUAGGACAAUGGUUCUAUUUGUUGGUUUCUAGGACUGUUGUAAUGAUUAAUAGGGAUAGUUGGGGGCAUUAGUAUUCAAUUGUCAGAGGUGAAAUUCUUGGAUUUAUUGAAGACUAACUACUGCGAAAGCAUUUGCCAAGGAUGUUUUCAUUAAUCAAGAACGAAAGUUAGGGGAUCGAAGACGAUCAGAUACCGUCGUAGUCUUAACCAUAAACUAUGCCGACUAGGAAUCGGGCGAUGUUGACAAAAUGACGCGCUCGGCACCUCAUG